AGUGAACGCUGGCGGUAGGCCUAACACAUGCAAGUCGAACGGCAGCACAGUAAGAGCUUGCUCUUACGGGUAGCGAGUGGCGGACGGGUGAGGAAUACAUCGGAAUCUACUUUUUCGUGGGGGAUAACGUAGGGAAACUUACGCUAAUACCGCAUACGACCUACGGGUGAAAGCAGGGGAUCUUCGGACCUUGCGCGAUUGAAUGAGCCGAUGUCGGAUUAGCUAGUUGGCGGGGUAAAGGCCCACCAAGGCGACGAUCCGUAGCUGGUCUGAGAGGAUGAUCAGCCAAACUGGAACUGAGACACGGUCCAGACUCCUACGGGAGGCAGCAGUGGGGAAUAUUGGACAAUGGGCGCAAGCCUGAUCCAGCCAUACCGCGCGGGUGAAGAAGGCCUUCGGGUUGUAAAGCCCUUUUGUUGGGAAAGAAAAGCAGCAGGUUAAUACCCCGCUGUUCUGACGGUACCCAAAGAAUAAGCACCGGCUAACUUCGCG
rnacentral:rRNA from 1 species